rnacentral:rRNA from 1 species
GGAUAUUGCGCAUGGGCGAAAGCCUGACGCAGCAACGCCGCGUGGGGGAUGAAGGCUUUCGGGUUGUAAACCCCUUUCAGCAGGGACGAAAAUGACGGUACCUGCAGAAGAAGCCCCGGCCAACUACGUGCCAGCAGCCGCGGUAACACGUAGGGGGCAAGCGUUGUCCGGAUUUAUUGGGCGUAAAGAGCUCGUAGGCGGUUGCGUAAGUCGGAUGUGAAAACUCAGGGCUCAACCCGGAGACGCCAUCCGAAACUGCGCUGACUAGAGUCCGGUAGGGGAGCAUGGAAUUCCUGGUGUAGCGGUGAAAUGCGCAGAUAUCAGGAGGAACACCAGUGGCGAAGGCGGUGCUCUGGGCCGGAACUGACGCUGAGGAGCGAAAGCGUGGGUAGCGAACAGGAUUAGAUACCCUGGUAGUCCACGCCGUAAACGUUGGGCACUAGGUGUGGGACCUACUUAACGGGUUCCGUGCCGUAGCUAACGCAUUAAGUGCCCCGCCUGGGGAGUACGGCCGCAAGGCUAAAACUCAAAGGAAUUGAC